rnacentral:rRNA from 1 species
GAAUCAGUACGCCGGUCAUGCUUCGGUAUGUACUAGUGUCACUGAUUCCUCCCUUCUGAUGAACCGUUAUACCAUUUAGUUGGUGUGGCGGGGAAUCAGGACUGUUACUUUGAAAAAAUUAGAGUGUUUAAAGCAAGCUCGCGCUUGAAUACAUUAGCAUGGAAUAAUAAAAUAGGACGUUUGAUCUCCUAUUUUGUUGGUUUCUAGGAUCGACGUA